CUGAAUAGAUCAAGGGACUCUUAUACUACUUAGAGUAAUGGGUUGAAAUUUAGUUCAAUUAUUUUCAAAUUAUAUGUAUGCACAAUAUUUGCAGAAUAACAACACUUCUGAAAACACUUUGAAACGAGUGAGUUCUCUUGCUGGAUUUACUGACUGCCACAGAACUUCCAUUCCUCUUCAUUCAAAACAAGAAAAAAUCAGUAGAAGGCCAUCUACCGAAGACACUCAUGAAGUAGAUUCCAAAGCAGCUUUAAUACCGGAUUGGUUACAAGAUAGACCAUCAAACAGAGAAAUGCCAUCUGAAGAAGGAACAUUAAAUGGUCUCACUUCUCCAUUUAAGCCAGCUAUGGAUACAAAUUACUAUUAUUCAGGUCAGUAAUAUUAAAAACAAAAUUUAAUAGUAUUUUGAACCUUUACAGAUUUCAUCAUUUCUCUCUCAUUUUAUGCAGCUGUGGAAAGAAAUAACUUGAUGAGGUUAUCACAGAGCAUUCCAUUUACACCUGUGCCUCCAAGAGGGGAGCCUGUCACAGUGUAUCGUUUGGAAGAGAGUUCACCCAACAUACUAAAUAACAGCAUGUCUUCUUGGUCACAACUAGGCCUCUGUGCCAAAAUAGAGUUUUUAA
rnacentral:sRNA from 1 species